rnacentral:rRNA from 1 species
GAGGAAGACACCUAGGGGGAACCUGAGUCCGGCGGAACACGAGAAAUGCCGUCGGAAUCCGGGAGGACCAUCUCCCAAGGCUAAAUACUCCCUAGUGAACGAUAGUGAACCAGUACCGUGAGGGAAAGGGGAAAAGCACCCCGGAAGGGGAGUGAAAUAGAACCGGAAACCGUGUGCCUACAACAAGUCAACGCCGGUUAAUGGGGGAUGGCGUGACUUUUGUAGAAUGAAUCGGCGAGUUACGAUUGCAUGCGAGGUUAAGUUGAAGAGACGGAGCCGCAGCGAAAGCGAGUCUGAAU